rnacentral:rRNA from 1 species
UACGUAGGGCGCAAGCGUUGUCCGGAAUUAUUGGGCGUAAAGAGCUCGUAGGCGGCUUGUUGCGUCUGCUGUGAAAUCCCGGGGCUUAACCCCGGGCGUGCAGUGGAUACGGGCAGGCUGGAGGCAGGCAGGGGAGAAUGGAAUUCCCGGUGUAGCGGUGAAAUGCGCAGAUAUCGGGAGGAACACCGGUGGCGAAGGCGGUUCUCUGGGCCUGUACUGACGCUGAGGAGCGAAAGCGUGGGGAGCAAACAGG